rnacentral:tRNA from 1 species
ACGGGUGUAGCUCAGUUGGUAGAGCUCUGGUCUCCAAAACCAGGAGUCGUGGGUUCAAGUCCUACCACCCGUGCAA